AUGUGGGGUUCUUAUUCAUUUGAUUUCGUCCUCCUGGCAGGCAUCUUUCGUACAUUGAGCAAUAAUGGCAAACUCGAGUGGAUGAUGGAAGGCCUCAGUUUGGGGCCAAGAAAAGGUGUGGACGAGGCCAUUUCUGCAAGGCCGCCUGUAAAUUGUUGGAUGCAACAUCAAUGUAGCUCUGAUCCAGAACCUAGUUCUUGGAUGCAACACGCAUUGUCCUGGACAGGAUCUAAUGUUGUUGAGGUGGCUGCUGUUGUGACCAUGAUCAGAAGAAGCCUGGAAAUGUGCACAAUAGUUUUAGUUGAUGUUGCCACCAUGUUUUGGUGCAUGUGUAUUUCUUUUUGA
rnacentral:rRNA from 1 species